rnacentral:lncRNA from 1 species
AAAAUGUUAUUCUCAAUGAGUUUGCAGAAAUAAAAGUUCUUUUAAAAGAAGUUAUAGAAAUUAAGUUUCAGGCUACUGGGGUGAAGUUGCUAGAAUCGGUGGACGAAGUGGUUACACUAGAUAAUAAACUAAAAGAUAAAACCAAGUAUACUAAUUUGCUUGAUAGUUUAAAAAAGAUUGGUGGUGGAAAGCCAAGAGAACAUGUUUUUUUGAUCAUGUAAAGUUUAUUGUUAAAAUAUUUAUCAGGUUAUUUUCGAAUCAGUUACAGUCCAAAUUAAAUCGAAAAGGAAAUGGCGAAAAGAUAAGCUUAGAAAAUCUAGUAAAUAUAUGGAGUGUUUUACGAGAUAUCGGCGACGUGGAAGAAAAUGUUGACGGCAAUGCAGAAAUAUAGUUUCUUAUGUAUAUUUUUGUGACAUAAAAAUUAAGUAAUGUUAGUU